GAUGAACGCUGGCGGCGUGCCUAAUACAUGCAAGUCGAGCGAAUGGAUUAAGAGCUUGCUCUUAUGAAGUUAGCGGCGGACGGGUGAGUAACACAUGGGUAACCUGCCCAUAAGACUGGGAUAACUCCGGGAAACCGGGGCUAAUACCGGAUAACAUUUUGAACCGCAUGGUUCGAAAUUGAAAGGCGGCUUCGGCUGUCACUUAUGGAUGGACCCGCGUCGCAUUAGCUAGUUGGUGAGGUAACGGCUCACCAAGGCAACGAUGCGUAGCCGAGCUGAGGGGGUGAUCGGACACACUGGGACUGAGACACGGCCCAGACUCCUACGGGAGGCGGCAGUAGGGAAUCUUCCGCAAUGGACGAAAGUCUGACGGAGCAACGCCGCGUGAGUGAUGAAGGCUUUCGGGUCGUAAAACUCUGUUGUUAGGGAAGAACAAGUGCUAGUUGAAUAAGCUGGCACCUUGACGGUACCUAACCAGAAAGCCACGGCUAACUACGUGCCAGCCGCCGCAGUAA
rnacentral:rRNA from 1 species